rnacentral:rRNA from 1 species
UACGAAGGGGGCUAGCGUUGUUCGGAAUUACUGGGCGUAAAGCGCACGUAGGCGGAUAUUUAAGUCGGGGGUGAAAUCCCGGGGCUCAACCCCGGAACUGCCUUCGAUACUGGGUAUCUUGAGUUCGGAAGAGGUGAGUGGAAUUGCGAGUGUAGAGGUGAAAUUCGUAGAUAUUCGCAGGAACACCAGUGGCGAAGGCGGCUCACUGGUCCGAUACUGACGCUGAGGUGCGAAAGCGUGGGGAGCAAAGCAGG